CAAUAGCGUAUAUUAAGGUUGUUGCGGUAAAAAAGCUCGUAGUUGGAUUUCUACCGAAGAUAGCCGGUCGGGUCUUCGACCUUGUAUCUGGUUUUGUCUUUGGUAUCCUCAUAGGGAACGUUUCUGCGCUUUAUUGCGUGGUGCGGUAUCUAUGACUUUUACUUUGAGGAAAUUAGAGUGUUCACGGCAGGCAAACGCCUUGAAUAUAUUAGCAUGGAAUAAUAACAUAGGAUCUUCGUCCUAUUUUGUUGGUUUCUAGGGCUAAGAUAAUGAUUAAUAGGGAUAAUUGGGGGCAUCUGUAUCAACGCGUCAGAGGUGGAAUUCUUGGAUUGCGUUGCGACAAACUACUGCGAAAGCAUUUGCCAAGGAUGUUUUCAUUGA
rnacentral:rRNA from 1 species